rnacentral:rRNA from 1 species
AUGAAGGACCAAAAGCCAGCAAAUAGUGCGAGGUGGCUCGUCACCGGCGAUUUUAACCAAAUCUAUAGGGCUAGAGAUAGGAAUCGUCCAAAUGCUAACCGUGGCCGAAUUGUACGAUUCCGCAACACCCUCAACUUCUGCGAGCUCAAGGAAAUCCACAUCCAGAAUAGAAAAUACACCUGGAGUAAUGAGCAAAGCAACCCGACAAUGUCCAAACUAGAUGGGUUUUUUUGUAAUGAGGAA